GCGAACAUGUGACUUGGGAUGGGACCGCCCGUCAUACUCUUCCAGACUUUUCCACGAGGAGAAAUCUUGUACAAGGUAUAAAUUUGGUUCAAGUAUAUUUGUCUUUAUCUCUAUAGGUCCAAAUUCCAUCAGCGUGCACACCAAACAAUGCUGGCAGUCCAUUGAGAAUGACAAUCAUAAAUUGAUCAUAAAUUUUAAUAUCAGAAAAUACCUCUUGGAACACCCACCACAACAAAAUCGCCAUUGUCAUAUUCCUCGCAUUGGUAGUGACUUUGGGCAACAAACCGUUAGUACUGAUCCCCAAGAAAGAGUAUACGAAUUCAAUUUGUUGAGUUGUUCAGUCAUCAGUUGUCCACAUAUGCUUAUCCUUUUGCACAUAUCAGCCAGGGAAACUGACUUUGUAACUUGCAAAAAUCAUCCACACACAAUCCGAGUC
rnacentral:lncRNA from 1 species